GAUGAAGAACGUAGCGAAAUGCGAUAAGUAAUGUGAAUUGCAGAAUUCAGUGAAUCAUCGAAUCUUUGAACGCACAUUGCGCCCCCUGGUAUUCCGGGGGGCAUGCCUGUUCGAGCGUCAUUUAAACCUUCAAGCUAAGCUUGGUGUUGGGUGACUGUCCGCUUCACGGCGGACUCGCCUCAAAAUUAUUGGCGGCCGGUACAUUGGCUUCGAGCGCAGCAGAAACGCGAACUCGGGCCCGUCGUAUUGGCUCCCAGAAGCUAUCUUCACAAUUUUGACCUCGGAUCAGGUAGGGAUACCCGCUGAACUUAAGCAUAUCAAUAAGCGGAGGA
rnacentral:misc_RNA from 1 species